GUCAGAAUGGCCGAGUGGUCUAAGGUGCCAGAUUUAAGCUCUGGUUCUCGAAAGAGAGCGUGGGUUCGAACCCCACUUCUGACA
rnacentral:tRNA from 1 species